CUCCUUCUAUAUUUUUAUGUUGGUUCAUUUUUUAUUUUGGUCUUUUAGAUUCCGCAUGUAAAUGAAAGCAUACUGUAUUUCUCUUUGACUUACCUCACUUAGCAAAAUACCCUCUAAGUCCAUCAAUGUUGUAACAAAUGGCAAUAUCUCAUUCUUUUUUAGGGCUAAAUAAUAUUCCAUUGUCUGUCUGUCUGUCUGUCUAUCUAUCUAUCUAUCUGUCUAUCAUCUUCUUUAUCCAUUUGUCUAGCAAUGGACACUUAAGUUGCUUAGCUUAAGCUUUUUUUAAAAAAAUAAAUUUAUGUCCCCCCCCCCUUUUAGGGGCACACCUACAGCGGAUGGAAGUUCCCAGGCUAGGGGUUGAAUCAGAGCUACAGUGACUGGCCUAUACCACAACCACAGCCAUGCCAGAUCUGAGCCACCUCUGUGACCUAUGCCUCAGCUCAAGGCAAUGCCAGAUCCUUAACCCACUGAGCAAGGCCAGGGAUCAAACCUGCAUCCUCAUGGAUACUAGUCAGAUUCUUAACCCACUGAGCUACAACAGGAACUCCUUAAUCUUGGCUAUUGUAAAUAAUACUGCAAUGAACAUACGGGCGCAGGUAUCUUUUAGAAUUAGUGUUUUUGUAUUCUUUGAAAAAACACACCAAAGUGGAAUUGCUAUAUUCUAUGGUAUUUCUAUUUUUAGUUCUUGGCAGGAACUCUACAGUGUUUUCCAUAGUGGCUAUACCUAUUUACAGUCCCACCAACAUUACACAAAGGUCCCCUUUUUCCACAUCCUCACCAUCUGUUGUCAUUUGUGGUCUUUUGAUGAUAGAUUGUGAGGUGAUAUCUCAUUGUGGUUUUGGUUUGCAUUUCCUUAAUUAGUGAUAUUGAAAUCUUCUCAUGUGCCUGAUGGCCGUCUGUGUCUUCUUUGGAAAAAUAUCUAUGCAGGUCCUCUGCCCACUUUUUAAUCUCGUUGUUGUUGUUGUUGUUGUUGUUUUUUAUGUUGAGUUGUAUGAGUUCUCCGUAUAUUUUGGAUACUAACCCCUUAUCAGGUAUAUCAUUUGCACAUACCUUCUCCCAAUCAGUAAGCAACAUUUUCAUUUCAUUGAUAGUUUCCUUCCCUCUGCAAAAGCUUUUUAGUUUGAUAUAGUACCACUUGUUUAUUUUUGUUUUCAUUUCCCUUGCCUAAGGAGACGUAUCCAAAAACACAUUGCUAAGACCAAUGUUAAAGAGUGCUCCGGGAGUUCCCGUCAUUCGUUAACCACUGAGCCAUGACAGGAACUCCAGGCUCUUAUUAUGUUGAGGUGUGUUCCUUCUAUACUCAAUUUGUUGAGAAUUUUUACCAUAAAUUGAUGUUGAAUUUUGUCAAAAGCUUUUUCUGUAUCUAUUGAGAUGUUCAAAAUUUUUUUUGUUGUUCAAUUUUUUGAUGUUGUGUAUCACAUUAUUUGACUUGUGGAUAUUGCACCAUCCUUGAAUUCCUAGAACAAAUCUCACUUGAUCAUGUGUAUGAUUCUUUUAAUAUGUUGUUAAAUUUGGCUUGCUAACAUUUUUUUAGGGAUUUUUUUCAUCUAUGUCCAUCAAGGAUAUUGGACUGUGAUUGUGUGUGUGUAUGUGUGUGUGUGUGUGUGUGUUGUCUUUGUCUGCUUUUGGUGUCAGGGUGAUGCUGAUCUCAUAGAAUAAGUUCAGAAGAACUCUUUCCUCUUCAAUUUUUUGAAUAGUUUGAGAAGGAUAGGAGUUAACUUUUAUUUAAAUGUUUGGUAGAAUUCACCUGUGAAAGUGUCUGGUCCUGGUUUUUUUGUUUGGGAGGUUUUAUUAUUAUUAUUAUUACUGAUUCAGUUUCAUUACUGGUAAUCGGUUCGUUCAUAUUUCUAUUUCUUCCUGAUUCAGUAUUGGAAGAUUAUACAUUUCUGGGAAUGUGUCCAUUUAUUCUAUGUUAUCUAUUUUAUUGGCUUAUGAUUAUUUAUAACAGUCUCUUAGGAUCUUUUGUAUUUUUUAUGGUGUCAAUUGUAACUUCUUCAUUUCUGAUUUUAUUUAUUUAGGCCCUCUCUUUUUUCUUAAUGACUCUGGCAAAUAGUAUAUCAACUUGUUUAUUUUUACAAAGAACCAGAUCUCAGUUUCAUUGAUCUUUUCUAUUAUUUUUAGGCUCUAUUACAUUUAUUUUUUCUCUUAUCUUUGAUUCCUUUCCUUCUACUUACUUUGGAUUUUGUUUAUUCUUCUUUUUCUAGUUCCUUUAGGUGUAAGGUUAGGUUGUUUGAGAUUUUUCUUCUUUCCUGAGGUAUACUUGCAUCACUAUAAACUUCUCUCUUGGAACUGCUUUUGCUCCAUUCCAUAGAUUUUGGAUUAUUGUGUUUCCCUUUUUAUUUGUCUCCAGUUAUUUUUUUUAUUUUCUGCUUUGAUUUCUUCAGUGACCCAUUGGUUGUGUAGUAGCAUGCUGCUUGUGUUCUUUUCUUAUAGUUCAUUUCUAGUCUCAUAUAUUGUGGUUGGAAGAUAUUCUUGAUAUGGUUUCAAUCUUAUUACAUUUACUGAGACUUGUUUUGUGGUCUAGCAUGUGAUCUCUUCUGGAGAUUGCUCCAUGUGCCCUUGAAAAGAAUAUGUAUUAUGCUGCUUUUGGAUGGAAUGUCCUUUUUAUAUCUAUUGGAUCCAUCUGAUUUAAUAUUUCAUAUAAGGCUAGUGUUACCUUAUUGAUUUUCUACCUGGACGAUGCAUUCAUUGAUUGAAACAUGUUUUGAUAUUAGACUGGACUAGACAUUUUAAUACCUAAAUGUGACUGGGAAAAGCUAUGGAUCUGCCUGAAAUUGCAUCUGAGAGUGGGGAAAAGGAUGAUUUGAUAGAGUUUGCUUGAAGAGAGUCAAUAUAUAUGUGUGAGUGGGAAGCUACUAUGUAAAUUUAAUCUAUCCCAAGUCUAGUUCAAGGAUUGAAAGAUGCCUUUGUGAUUUGUCUAAGUGUGGAACAGCACAUAGUCCUUAGACUGACAGACCCAGAAGAUGCUGACUUUGCUGGUUUCUAGAACUUGGUCGUGGGAGUAUCAUGCACAUUUGGAAACCUGUUUCAUGGUUUCAGCCUCAAAUACACAUAAAUAUAUCUUUAGAAGACAAGGGAGUAGGAUUUAGAAUUUGAGGUCCUCUCACAGGCUGCUUUUGUUUCCAAGAACUCUUGCCUAUAGCCCACUCCAGAGAUUGCCCCAGAGUCCCUCUCUUUACGUCCUUUGUGGUUUUCCAAAUCCAACUCAGAUAGCUUAGUGUGCAUGCAGAAAAGAUCCUGAAUCUAGAAUUCUCUUGGACUACUUACAUGUGCAGCCCUUGUUUCAUGUUGAAUUUCAGGAAUGUUUUGGAGAUUUUGAAAAAUCCACUCUCACCUCCAAAGACCAAGAACAUGGACCAAAUUUCCCUUUGGUCACACAGAAUAUACAAAUAUCCCAGGGAGAAAAUCUUGGCACAAAAAUUGUGAAGGUGGCUAAAAUCUCUUAAAGAGAAUUCCCCCAAGAUGGAUAUGUUUCAGUUAAUGGAAGGAUCACAACAGAUUAAACCACUCUGUAGAUAAAUUACUAUAUAUCAAAAGCCAUUUUCCAUUCUGGUUUGGUUAAAGUGACAUAAGCACACUUUACUCUCCUACUUCCAAUACAUACAACUAAAAAUGACAGAAAAAAAACAUGGAGGUGCUAUUAAGGAUUUUGGAGAAAAAAGUCAUAAUAGGAAACUUGCAGAAUGAAUCUAAAACUCCAAAUAAGAUAAGUUUGGGGUGAGUUUCUUGUAUCUUUUCUUAUUCCAGUGUCCUUUGGUCUGUAAUCAAAAGCAAUGAAACCCAGAACUGUGUACCAGGGGUGGCAAGAAAGAGCUCUAAGAGAAACUUUCUCUUGUUUGAGAAGUAAAAGGAGACUCAUUGAGGUCAGAGACAAUGGGGAAAAUCCCCCAUAUUUUUAGUUAUUUCCGUCAUCGCCACCUAACCCUCCAGGCAACCCUAUGAUGGUGAUAGUGACAGCAAUGGUGGCAGCAGCUGACAGACACCUAAAACUCUGAGGGAAGAGAAUCUGUCUCUCUGACCAAGGGGACUCUGGUUCCAAGAGCAUAGGAAUAAUUUGCAUAGAUUUUAAUUUCUAUCUAUUCUCCUGCUACUUGAUUUUGGAGGUAGACAUGGUCAAAAAAUAUGCCCUAGAGUGGGGAAACUCCAACUCCAACUUUCCAGCCAGAAAACCAGGAGAGCUCCCUAGGGGCCAGAAAAUGUCACAGAGAACAUGGUGAAAGGGGCAACUUAAGAAAGCAAUACUAUAAAAUUGAAUAUGCACACCUGAUUCAUUCUUGAAUCAAUAAAAAAAUUAUAGCCCAUCAUCCAUCAUUAACAUAGAUAUAACAAACCUCAAUAAAAUAUUAGCAAGUUGAUUCCAGCAA
rnacentral:lncRNA from 1 species